CCUUUGGAGUGCGAUAUCAAACGUUAGUAGUUCGUGAGGGCGAGAACGCGCACGUUGAAAAAGGAA
rnacentral:sRNA from 12 species